AUGUGUGUCUGGCAGGGGGAUUCCACGAUCACGCAGGUGGAUUUUCCAGAGCGAGGCUCAUCCAUUGCGCUUAGGAUGGGCUUAACCCUGUGAAAUCCUCAAAUGUGGGAAACUCUAUGGCAUAAUUGUGGUAGUGCGGGACUGUGUUCAUGCUCUCCUCUG
rnacentral:snRNA from 1 species